ensembl:lncRNA
AUGUAUUGUUCUUUUGACUUCUUUUUUUUCUUCAUACAAGAGAGAACUCCGGGGCGCUCUGCAGUGCGUUCCUGUCCGCUUUGCCCUAAGGUUGUGGUCGGCUUCAGUCAGCACCUGAGGCACACGCACAAUGUGAGGAACACGGAGGAGAGGAUCCUCCUUUGUAAUUGGCAGUCGGGCCGUGUCAACAUCAGGCAGGAGCCGUGCCCAGUGACAGGAUGCUCCACCCAUGUCAGCAGGCUGGACCGGCACAUGGAGUCGCACACAGAGCUCGACAGAUCGCAGAGGAGACGGGCUUUAGAGGAACUCAGGAGACGGCUGACCAUGGAGCGGCUGGCCACGUUGAGGGCGUCCAACCCUGUCGUCCCGCUGGCCACCCAUUUGGAUAUCGUGGAGUGGGAAACAAAGCAGGAAGAGGAGGACGACUCUUUAGAUUCACUGCUGUCUCCUUUGGAAGAGGAGGAGGAGGAGGACGUGAGCUGCGGAGAUUAUUCCUGCCACUGCCAGGUGCCCAUCCUGAGGCUACGGAAAGCUUUGCAAGAGCGGGAUGAGGCCCUGACCAAGAGAAGUGCGACCAUCCAAUCCGUUAGAGAGGACAACCUGAAGCUGACCUCGGAACUGAAUAGAGCGAGGAAGAGGUAUCAGCUACUGAAAAGGCAGAAGACGAGUGUCAGCGCGAGGUCGGCAAACGCAAGGUCAGCGAAGAGGUCCAGGUUUCAGACCGAGCCAUCUCGUCCUGCGUCAGACACAGAACAAGAGGAGCUACAGCGGGACCAAGUCGUGGGUUCAGGAGCCCAGAUAGAGGAGGCCACGGCGCUCAGAUCUAGCAGCCAAACUCCCUUCCCGGGCUCUGCUCUGAGUGUGUUUAUAGAGGGGUUCAGGAAGAUCUGUGAAGGCCCCAGUCCAAACAAUAAGCUGAAGCAAAAUUGUGCCGUGAAGCUCAAGAUGGUGCAACAAUUUUUGAAGUUCAUGGCGAAGGAUGAGAAAUAUCCAUCCCCUCUCAGUUUCCUGGCAGACCGGGACAACAUGAGGAGAUGGUUUCAGACCCUUCAGCAGAACAAGGCCGUCGCCAUGGUCAACCACUACACCUCGACUAUCGGUGCAUUUCUCCAGUACUCCGAGGAGACCCCUCCGCCUGGCUGCCGGCUGACCAAAAACCACUGGAAGGAGAUCAAUCGGGCAAUGAAGGAGAUCAACAAGUCCGUGAAAGGAGCCGUCUCCAACAAGGAAGGCAAGGGGGUGUCUAUAAAGAGCCUGCUGGAGUGCCAGUCUCUUGCCAAGGACAAGAUCCCCCAAGUGCUGAGUAAGUUUUUCCUCAAUCUGGGAUGUCACUGUUAUUCCACUCUUCUAGACGUCAGAGAUGUUCACAGGACAUUAUGGAAGCUGUCUGUUAUUAUUAUAGAUGGUCACAGGACAUUAUGGAAGCUGUCUGUUAUUAUUAUAGAUGUUUACAGGACAUUAUGGAAGCUGUCUGUUAUUAUUAUAGAUGUUUACAGGACAUUAUGGAAGCUGUCUGUUAUUAUUAUAGACGUCAGAGAUGUUCACAGGACAUUAUGGAAGCUGUCUGUUAUUAUUAUAGAUGGUCACAGGACAUUAUGGAAGCUGUCUGUUAUUAUUAUAGAUGUUUACAGGACAUUAUGGAAGCUGUCUGUUAUUAUUAUAGAUGUUUACAGGACAUUAUGGAAGCUGUCUGUUAUUAUUAUAGAUGUUUACAGGACAUUAUGGAAGCUGUCUGUUAUUAUUAUAGAUGUUUACAGGACAUUAUGGAAGCUGUCUGUUAUUAUUAUAGACGUCAGAGAUGUUCACAGGACAUUAUGGAAGCUGUCUGUUAUUAUUAUAGAUGUUUACAGGACAUUAUGGAAGCUGUCUGUUAUUAUUAUAGAUGUUUACAGGACAUUAUGGAAGCUGUCUGUUAUUAUUAUAGAUGUUUACAGGACAUUAUGGAAGCUGUCUGUUAUUAUUAUAGAUGUAUACAGGACAUUAUGGAAGCUAUCUGUUAUUAUUAUAGAUGUCAGAGAUGUUCACAGGACAUUAUGGAAGCUGUCUGUUAUUAUUAUAGAUGUUUACAGGACAUUAUGGAAGCUGUCUGUUAUUAUUAUAGACGUCAGAGAUGUUCACAGGACAUUAUGGAAGCUGUCUGUUAUUAUUAUAGAUGUCAGAGAUGUUUACAGGACAUUAUGGAAGCUGUCUGUUAUUAUAGAUGUUUACAGGACAUUAUGGAAGCUGUCUGUUAUUAUAGAUGUUUACAGGACAUUAUGGAAGCUGUCUGUUAUUAUUAUAGAUGUUUACAGGACAUUAUGGAAGCUGUCUGUUAUUAUUAUAGAUGUUUACAGGACAUUAUGGAAGCUGUCUGUUAUUAUUAUAGAUGUCAGAGAUGUUUACAGGACAUUAUGGAAGCUGUCUGUUAUUAUUAUAGAUGUCAGAUGUUUACAGGACAUUAUGGAAGCUGUCUGUUAUUAUUAUAGAUGUUUACAGGACAUUAUGGAAGCUGUCUGUUAUUAUAGAUGUUUACAGGACAUUAUGGAAGCUGUCUGUUAUUAUUAUAGAUGUUUACAGGACAUUAUGGAAGCUGUCUGUUAUUAUUAUAGAUGUUUACAGGACAUUAUGGAAGCUGUCUGUUAUUAUUAUAGAUGUUUACAGGACAUUAUGGAAGCUGUCUGUUAUUAUUGUAGAUGUCAGAUAUGUUUACAGGACAUUAUGGAAGCUGUCUGUUAUUAUUAUAGAUGUAUACAGGACAUUAUGGAAGCUGUCUGUUAUUAUUAUAGAUGUUUACAGGACAUUAUGGAAGCUGUCUGUUAUUAUUAUAGAUGUUUACAGGACAUUAUGGAAGCUGUCUGUUAUUAUUAUAGAUGUCAGAGAUGUUUACAGGACAUUAUGGAAGCUGUCUGUUAUUAUUAUAGAUGUCAGAGAUGUUUACAGGACAUUAUGGAAGCUGUCUGUUAUUAUUAUAGAUGUAUACAGGACAUUAUGGAAGCUGUCUGUUAUUAUUAUAGAUGUUUACAGGACAUUAUGGAAGCUGUCUGUUAUUAUUAUAGAUGUUUACAGGACAUUAUGGAAGCUGUCUGUUAUUAUUAUAGAUGUUUACAGGACAUUAUGGAAGCUGUCUGUUAUUAUUAUAGAUGUUUACAGGACAUUAUGGAAGCUGUCUGUUAUUAUUAUAGAUGUUUACAGGACAUUAUGGAAGCUGUCUGUUAUUAUUAUAGAUGUCAGAGAUGUUUACAGGACAUUAUGGAAGCUGUCUGUUAUUAUUAUAGAUGUCAGAUGUUUACAGGACAUUAUGGAAGCUGUCUGUUAUUAUUAUAGAUGUUCACAGGACAUUAUGGAAGCUGUCUGUUAUUAUUAUAGAUGUUUACAGGACAUUAUGGAAGCUGUCUGUUAUUAUUAUAGAUGUUUACAGGACAUUAUGGAAGCUGUCUGUUAUUAUUAUAGAUGUUUACAGGACAUUAUGGAAGCUGUCUGUUAUUAUUAUAGAUGUUUACAGGACAUUAUGGAAGCUGUCUGUUAUUAUUAUAGAUGUUUACAGGACAUUAUGGAAGCUGUCUGUUAUUAUUAUAGAUGUAUACAGGACAUUAUGGAAGCUGUCUGUUAUUAUUAUAGAUGUUUACAGGACAUUAUGGAAGCUGUCUGUUAUUAUUAUAGAUGUUUACAGGACAUUAUGGAAGCUGUCUGUUAUUAUAGAUGUUUACAGGACAUUAUGGAAGCUGUCUGUUAUUAUUAUAGAUGUUUACAGGACAUUAUGGAAGCUGUCUGUUAUUAUUAUAGAUGUUUACAGGACAUUAUGGAAGCUGUCUGUUAUUAUUAUAGAUGUUUACAGGACAUUAUGGAAGCUGUCUGUUAUUAUUAUAGAUGUUUACAGGACAUUAUGGAAGCUGUCUGUUAUUAUUAUAGAUGUCAGAGAUGUUUACAGGACAUUAUGGAAGCUGUGUUAUUAUUAUAGAUGUUUACAGGACAUUAUGGAAGCUGUCUGUUAUUAUUAUAGAUGUUUACAGGACAUUAUGGAAGCUGUCUGUUAUUAUUAUAGAUGUUUACAGGACAUUAUGGAAGCUGUCUGUUAUUAUUAUAGAUGUUUACAGGACAUUAUGGAAGUUAUCCUAUUUUUAUUCUCAUGUUCCCACAGAAACCUUGGCAGAAACAAUGACACAGAGGAACCAGAACCGGUUUUACGGAUUCCUGUGUGCCUAUUUCACCUCCAUGUACGGCCACAGCCCGGGCCUUUAUAGAAACAUGAUGGUGAAGGAGGUGGAGGAGGUCCAGUGGGGCCUGUCUGGGACCUGUCUGAUCAACGUAAGUCUAUAACCAACCAUACACCUGAACGUGGCCCAGUGGGGCCUGUCUGGGACCUGUCUGAUCAACGUAAGUCUAUAACCAACCCUACACCUGAACGUGGCCCAGUGGGGCCUGUCUGGGACCUGUCUGAUCAACGUAAGUCUAUAACCAUAAACCUGAACGUGGCCCAGCGUGGCCUGUCUGGGACCUGUCUGAUCACCGUAAGUCUAUAACCAACCCUACACCUGAACGUGGCCCAGUGGGGCCUGUCUGGGACCUGUCUGAUCAACGUAAGUCUAUAACCAACCAUACACCUGAACGUGGCCCAGUGGGGCCUGUCUGGGACCUGUCUGAUCACCGUAAGUCUAUAACCAACCAUACACCUGAACGUGGCCCAGUGGGGCCUGUCUGGGACCUGUCUGAUCACCGUAAGUCUAUAACCAACCAUACACCUGAACGUGGCCCAGUGGGGCCUGUCUGGGACCUGUCUGAUCAACGUAAGGCUAUAACCAACCAUACACCUGAACGUGGUUGGUUGGUUUUGGAAACGACUGCAGGCACCACAGCGUUAAUGCCUGUUUUUUUUGUCCAUUUUCUAAUAGGUGGGAAACGCAAAACAAAUGCAAACCAGGAUCCAGAUGUCGCUGACCAAAGAGGAGUACUCUUGGUUUUCAGACUUCCUGAAAUUCAAGCACUGCCUGCCAGGGGGAAAGAAAGCCCAGUACUUCUUUUUCAAUUCCACCAACACUGAGAUCAAGAACCUGCCCGUCUACCUGAGGGAGGCGUGGAAGGAGAUGGGCCUGCCUGGAAGCCCUACCUUCACUGACCUGCGGACUUCCAUCUUCAGUCAUGUCAGUCAGAUGGGGGGGGGGGGGGGGGGGGGGGGGGGGUGUAAAUUAAGAGAUCCUACUCCAACGGCUGUCCCGAAAACCAUCAAUGACUAAAAUAUAAUAUUUUAUCUGUGUGUCUUGUUUGUGUUCUUACAGGUUAAAAACGUUGUCCCGAAUGCCGACGGGGAAACGUUGUCCGACUUCGUGCGCCACGACAGCCGGACGGAAGCCAAACGUUACGCGAUGAAUCCUUCCAAAGCCGGUGAAACCAGCGCCUUCCUGGAGAAGGCGGUGAAGGGAGAAGAUACCGCACCGCGGGCGCCGCAGAGAACCAGCCAUCCACCUCCAGAAAGCAGGAGACGAGAGAGGACGUCUCCGAGCGGAGCACCACCCCUGAAGAGACCGAGGUGCAGUACUAGGAGUCUGGCACGUCCGCCGGGGAGGAGGAGCAGGAACGGACGGCCAGACAAAAAAUAAGAUAUUCAGAGACAACGCAUCAGAUUACACUUGUACACCGUUUAACACUCAAGAACAAACAGAUACUCGGGCAUGGUGGUCUCCUCCAACUGAAGGACAUGGUGGUCUCCUCCAACUGAAGGGCAUGGUGGUCUCCUCCAACUGAAGAGCAUGUUGCUGCUCGCCUCCCACUGUGUCAGGUUAUGAAGCAGCUGAGGUCCAUUUAAAGCCCCAAACAGACUCCAGGAGAAAGAAGGACGAGGAAAGACUUCUGACAGUCAGUUGGAAGAGAGGGGUUGACUUCUGACAGUCAGGUGGAAGAGGGGGGUUGACCUCUGACAGUCAGGUGGAAGAGGGGGGUUGACCUCUGACAGUCAGGUGGAAGAGGGGGAGCUGUCUUCUGACAGUCAGGUGGAAGAGGGGGAGCUGUCUUCUGACAGUCAGGUGGAAGAGGGGGAGCUGUCUUCUGACAGUCAGGUGGAAGGAGGGGAGCUGUCUUCUGACAGUCAGGUGGAAGGAGGGGAGCUGUCUUCUGACAGUCAGGUGGAAGAGGGGGAGCUGUCUUCUGACAGUCAGGUGGAAGAGGGGGAGCUGUCUUCUGACAGUCAGGUGGAAGGAGGGGAGCUGUCUUCUGACAGUCAGGUGGAAGAGGGGGAGCUGUCUUCUGACAGUCAGGUGGAAGGAGGGGAGCUGUCUUCUGACAGUCAGGUGGAAGAGGGGGGUUGACCUCUGACAGUCAGGUGGAAGAGGGGGGUUGACCUCUGACAGUCAGGUGGAAGAGGGGGAGCUGUCUUCUGACAGUCAGGUGGAAGAGGGGGAGCUGUCUUCUGACAGUCAGGUGGAAGAGGGGGAGCUGUCUUCUGACAGUCAGGUGGAAGGAGGGGAGCUGUCUUCUGACAGUCAGGUGGAAGGAGGGGAGCUGUCUUCUGACAGUCAGGUGGAAGAGGGGGAGCUGUCUUCUGACAGUCAGGUGGAAGAGGGGGAGCUGUCUUCUGACAGUCAGGUGGAAGGAGGGGAGCUGUCUUCUGAAGAAUGUUCAACUUUCUCACAUGUAUACACACCACUCAGACACACUCAGACAGACACCACACUCAGACACCACACUCAGACACCAUUUUCAGACACCACACUCAGACACCAUUUUCAGACACCAUACUCAGACACCACACUCAGACACCAUUUUCAGACACCAUUUUCAGACACCAUACUCAGACACCAUACUCAGACACACCCAUUAUUAAAAGUAAUUUAAUGUCAUUUAAUUUGAUUUCUCGUUUAGAUUCAAUAAAAUAUUGUUACUAGUUCUCCACUGUGUUUUCAUUUCAGAGGUUGAAUGUCAAACAGGAUGGAGUGAAGUAACAUAGGAUCAUAUCUCAGGGAAUGUCAAACAGGAAGGAGUGAAGUAACAUAGGAUCAUAUCUCAGGGAAUAUCAAACAGGAAGGGAGAUUUAAAGCAGAACAGUGAAGUAACAGCAAAUACGUUGAAUGAGCAACUUCUGAGCAUGUAGAUCCUCACAAGGUUGACGAAAUUACCUCAUAUCUUUCUGUCUAAUAUGGCUAUUUACUGCUGUUGCCCUCAUUAGAGGCUUUCUGUAAGUAGUUAGGCCUAACUGUCCUGUCCAAGUUUAGCUGGAAUUUAGCCCCAAAGGAUUUAAGAGGAUUGGUUGACUACAGGCCUAACUGUCCUGUCCAAGUUUAGCUGGAAUUUAGCCCCAAAGGAUUUAAGAGGAUUGGUUGACUACAGGCCUAACUGCCCUGUCCAAGUUUAGCUGGAAUUUAGCCCCAAAGGAUUUAAGAGGAUUGGUUGACUACAGGCCUAACUGUCCUGUCCAAGUUUAGCUGGAAUUUAGCCCCAAAGGAUUUAAGAGGAUUGGUUGACUACAGGCCUAACUGUCCUGUCCAAGUUUAGCUGGAAUUUAGCCCCAAAGGAUUUAAGAGGAUUGGUUGACUACAGGCCUAACUGUCCUGUCCAAGUUUAGCUGGAAUUUAGCCCCAAAGGAUUUAAGAGGAUUGGUUGACUACAGGCCUAACUGUCCUGUCCAAGUUUAGCUGGAAUUUAGCCCCAAAGGAUUUAAGAGGAUUGGUUGACUACAGGCCUAACUGUCCUCUCCAAGUUUAGCUGGAAUUUAGCCCCAAAGGAUUUAAGAGGAUUGGUUGACUACAGGCCUAACUGUCCUCUCCAAGUUUAGCUGGAAUUUAGCCCCAAAGGAUUUAAGAGGAUUGGUUGACUACAGGCCUAACUGUCCUGUCCAAGUUUAGCUGGAAUUUAGCCCCAAAGGAUUUAAGAGGAUUGGUUGACUACAGGCCUAACUGUCCUCUCCAAGUUUUGUCACAAAAAUAUAAACACAACAAUGUUGGUCCCAUGUUUCAUGAGCUGAAAUAAAA